UGACCGCGGAUCAGGUGAGGAUACCCGCUGAAUUUAA
rnacentral:rRNA from 3 species